rnacentral:rRNA from 1 species
AUGCCGGAUAAGACCAAGGAUGGGUCGAAGGUAAGAAAAGACUUGCAAGAUUUGAAAAUCAGGGAAGAUCUGCACAUGCCGCCCCGUAAACAGUCAGACGAGGCAGAGACGGAGACAGAGGCGCAGGAGAAGAAGGGCAAGAAAAUAAAGAAAGAGGAUUAUUGCCCCCCUUCUUGUUUCACCUUAAGUCAGUCUGAGAUCGAUCAAUUCUUUAAGUGCCUUACCGGAGUCAAAGUUAGUUCCGGUUACUGUGGCAAGAUAAGCAGAUAUGUAGACACGGACAAGAAAAGGUUCAGCGGGAUGAAGUCCCAUGACUGUCAUGUGAUGAUGACGCAGAUACUACCUGUUGCCCUUAGAGGGAUAAUGGACAAGCACGUCCGUGACACGCUUAUUGGUCUCUGCAACUUUUUCGACGUCAUCUCUCGAAAGUCGAUCAGUCUGAAGCAGCUCCGAAGGCUACAGGAAGAGAUCGUUGUGAUACUGAAUGAUCUUGAGAUGUACUUCCCGCCCGCGUUCUUUGACGUGAUGGUGCAUCUGUGUGUCCAUAUUAUGGACGACAUAAUAGACUUGGGGCCGUCAUUUCUGCAUAACAUGAUGCCGUUUGAGAGGAUGAAUGGGAUCAUCAAAGGAUUCGUUCGUAACAUGUCCCGUCCGGAUGGAGGCAUCGCCCAGGGCUAUCUGACACAAGAGUGCAUCUCUUUCUGCGAGAAUUUUCUAUAUGGCGCAGACCAGCCGCCUGAUGUUAGUGUUGGUUUGCCCGUUAACAAGCACGAUGGGAGGCUCGAAGGAGAAGGUCACUCCAACUGUCACAGGGAACUGCACAUGGCAUACUCAGAUCGACGCAGCGACUUUGACAUAGCAAACUUGGUAGUGCUACAACACCUAGACGAGGUAGAUCCUUUCAUGGCACUGCACAAAAAAAUUAUCGCAAAGAAGUAUCGUGACCGGGGGGUAUGCAGGACGGACGCCGAAGUUACUAGAGAGCACAACUCCACUUUCCUGCAUUGGUUCCCACCGAUGGCGGCGCCGAGACCGGCGGGGAUGGUACCAGGGAGGAAGAUACCGGCGGGGAAGGUACCGAUGCCGUUACCGAAAAGAAGAAGCAGAAGAAGCAGAGGAUACGAAAACCUAACAAACUAG